GAUGAACGCUGGCGGCGUGCCUAAUACAUGCAAGUCGAGCGAACAGAUGAGGAGCUUGCUCCUCUGACGUUAGCGGCGGACGGGUGAGUAACACGUGGAUAACCUACCUAUAAGACUGGGAUAACUUCGGGAAACCGGAGCUAAUACCGGAUAAUAUAUUGAACCGCAUGGUUCAAUAGUGAAAGACGGUUUUGCUGUCACUUAUAGAUGGAUCCGCGCCGCAUUAGCUAGUUGGUAAGGUAACGGCUUACCAAGGCAACGAUGCGUAGCCGACCUGAGAGGGUGAUAGGCCACACUGGAACUGAGACACGGUCCAGACUCCUACGGGAGGCAGCAGUAGGGAAUCUUCCGCAAUGGGCGAAAGCCUGACGGAGCAACGCCGCGUGAGUGAUGAAGGUCUUCGGAUCGUAAAACUCUGUUAUUAGGGAAGAACAAAUGUGUAAGUAACUAUGCACGUCUUGACGGUAACUAAUCAGAAAGCCACGGCUAACUACGUG
rnacentral:rRNA from 1 species